CUUGGGAUACCACCCUUGUAGUACUGGGACUCUAACCAUAGGCCAUGAAUCUGGUCUUGGGACACUGUCAGGUGGGCAGUUUGACUGGGGCGGUCGCCUCCCAAAAGGGAACGGAGGCGCUCAAAGGGUCUCUCAGUACGGUCGGAAAUCGUACGUAGAGUGUAAAGGCAAAAGAGAGCUUGAUUGCAAGACAUACAGGUCGAGCAAGGAUGAAAAUCGGACUUAGUGAUCCGGUG
rnacentral:rRNA from 1 species